rnacentral:rRNA from 1 species
AUUGAACGCUGGCGGCAGGCCUAACACAUGCAAGUCGAACGAGUGGCGGACGGGUGAGUAUUGUCUGGGAAACUGCCUGCUGGCGGGGGAUAAAUACUGGAAACGGUAGCUAAUACAGCAUACCAUCAGAUGUGUCCAGAGGGGAUUAGCUUGUUGGUGGGGUAACGGCUCACCACGGCGACGAUCCCUAGCUGGUCUGAGAGGAUGACCAGCCACACUGGAACUGAGACACGGUCCAGACUCCUACGGGAGGCAGCAGUGGGGAAUAUUGCACAAUGGGCGCAAGCCUGAUGCAGCCAGGCCGCGUGUAUGAAGAAGGCCUUCGGGUUGUAAAGUACUUUCAGCGGGGAGGCGUUACCCGCAGAAGAAGCACCGGCUAACUCCGUGCCAGCAGCCGCGGUAAUUC